AGUGAACGCUGGCGGCGUGCCUAAUACAUGCAAGUCGAACGGAGAUUAAGUAGCUUGCUAUUUAAUCUUAGUGGCGCACGGGUGAGUAAUAUAUAGCUAACUUGCCCAUUACUAAGGGACAACAGUUGGAAACGACUGCUAAUACCUUAUACUCCGUAUCUAUAUAAGUAGAUACGGGAAAGUUUUUCGGUAAUGGAUAGGGCUAUAUCGUAUCAGCUAGUUGGUAAGGUAAUGGCUUACCAAGGCUAUGACACGUAACUGGUCUGAGAGGAUGAUCAGUCACACUGGAACUGAGACACGGUCCAGACUCCUACGGGAGGCAGCAGUAGGGAAUAUUGCUCAAUGGGGGAAACCCUGAAGCAGCAACGCCGCGUGGAGGAUGACACUUUUCGGAGCGUAAACUCCUUUUCUUGGGAAAGAAUUAUGACGGUACCCAAGGAAUAAGCACCGGCUAACUCCGUG
rnacentral:rRNA from 1 species